UCAAGGUUCAGCAGGGUUUCAUUUCUGGUGAGGCUUCUCUUCCUGGAUUGAAGACAGCCACCUUUUUACUCUGUCUUAAUAAGGAGAGAGAAAAGUGUCUGGUCUCUUCCUCUUCUUAUAAUAGCACAAAUCUCCUCAUUAUGACUUCAUCAAGCCCUAACUACCUCCAAAUUCCCCACCUUCAAAUACCAUCACAUUGUGGGUUAGGGUUUUAAAGUAUCAAUUUAGGGGACACAAACAUUCAUCCAUAGCACAAGGAGAAUUGAUUAGACCUCAAUUCAUUUCUGUGCAGAUUUUGGGAAUGUAGUGCACAUUUGACGACUCUGAAGGGAAGCAGCCAGCAGAUGAAAACGAAUAAAACUUUCCAAGUUGCACAUCCAUGGAAGAAAGUCCAACAAUCAAGCUUGAGAAACCUAUUCACCUCCCCUUCACUAAGAUUGUCCAGGGGCAGAGAAAAUCUGGAAGGAAUACAAUGCCUUUAAAUCUUCAUUGCUUAGAGGCUUACCGAAGGAAUGGGGUAUCCAGUGAUUUAACAGGUCAAGUGCUGUGCUGUACUGAUUGAUAGAUGUCUCCAGAAGGAAGUUUGACAAUGGACCACCUAGAAGCAGAUGUGCCUCAAGUGAAGAAGUCUGCAGCAGAACCUCCACUUGGCCUAUGAUAGAUACGCUGCUGGAGAAGAAAUCAACCUCCUG